CACAGAUAUUGGCUUCUUUUUUUUUUUUUUUUUUUGCAGUAUUGGAGAUCACCUCAUGCUAACAAACACUCUACCUCUGAGCUACAUCCCCAGCCCGAUUGACUAAUUCCUAAGGACAGCACAUCGUGGAAAAUGUGUGGCCAACCCUUCCAUGUUUGCUUUUUGAGUGAAAAUCAACUACCUUUUACAUAUGGAGAGAGAGGGCCUUUAGGUGCACGGUUCUAGCACUACAGAGGAGGACUUGAUAAUGAAUAAAGACUGGAAAAUGAAUCAUGAAGCAGGAUUGCGUCCAAGAAUUUCUCCAAGAUAAACAUUCACAUGAGAUCUGGAUGUAGGUUUUUUUCUCACAAUGCAUGAAAUGCAAUUUUCCACAAAUGGACACAAACAUGUUGCCUGUGACUGUUAGGAUGAUUUGUCCAGAUAAUGCUGUGGGCUGAAGAAAAAUCCAUCCCUGUCUUGAGUUUAACCUGGGGCGCAGGGGAGACUACAGUAUCUUCUAUAGACUAAGAUAAAAUUCAGAGUUGCAAGAGCUGCAGUAAGAGCCAAGUGAGAAGAAACAUUAGCAUUAGAUAUCCUUGGUGUGCAGGAGUCAAUUGAAGAAUUUACGACUGGAUAUCAGAACCUUGAGCCACCGGAACUGUCCUCAGAGCUUCAAGCACAGCUUUUCCUCUCUGCCACUAUGUUCACAGGCAUAUUUGAUACUCCAUAUAUUUGAACCUUCAGCAAUACUAUUAAAAUAACUAGAAACCAUCCUGAAGGAACACUGUGUCCUAUUCAGAAGGUUUGCAUGCUCAACAAGAAAAUGAGAAAUGUAGAAAAGAAACGUUUUUAUUUUGCUAUUUGUUUCUAGUUAACAACCUUAAAAUGAAGCAAGACUGCU
rnacentral:lncRNA from 1 species